UUGUGCAUAUGGAACAUUUCUGGGAUCUUUUAUUUCAGCUCAUGAAACAUGGAACCAACAGUUUACAUGUUGCGUUUAUAUUUUUGCUCAGUGUAUAUAAUGUUCUUCCCAUACAUAGUACUGGGCUGAAGUUACCUGUCAGGACCACAGUGUUGGGAUUAGUGGACUGCAGAAGGUCUACAAGGACAGUCACCCCUCUGGCAGACAGAGUCACCUGGUCUGUGUCUGUGAUCACUUUGGCCAGCACAACUAUCUGGAGACCAGUUACCACAAAACGAAAAGUUAGCGAUAAAAGGAAUUACCUAACACUAAUUCCGUGUCAAGUCGGAAAACACAUACAAAUCAGCAGCUGUUAAUGACUCAUUGAUAUUACUGUGGCCCUCAGGUGAUUUUUUUAAUGAUCUACCUGAAAAGCAGCUUUGGCCCUCUCCAUCUCAUUCCUGGAGUUCAAGAAGGGCUCGUACAUGGCUAUGGGAAUGCCACCAUUCUGCAGGAUGGCUGCCUGCUGGGUGGUGUUGUUGUAGGCAAACAGAGACAGGGCAUAACCAGCCUCCAGGCAGAUGUCCUGCUGGGAAAAGGAAAACAUGACAAAUUGCCAUGGGGAAUGCACUUUACGGAGUGUCAACACCCCUUACUGCUUGAGCAGUCCUUGACCAUUAGGUGCCAGUAGUUCAUUGCACAUUGCGAUAACAGUAUUGUAUCUUGGAUGCUUUUCUUUCUAAUCUCUAUUAGACCCAUAUCUUGUUCCACCUCAUCUGGUUAGUGACUGUGCUGACAGCUGACAUACCGAAAGGUUCUGGGCUAAAGUUAUGAAGUAGCCCACAAACAGCCUUUCAAAUGGUUUACCUGAUCUGGCACUCGCAGCAACUCUAGAACUGUUUCGUAGGUAAACUCCUCUUUUUCCCAGAAGGUUGUUUGUAGGUCCUGGUUUCCCAGAAGCACACAGGCCAGCGUUUGAGCCACUUGGACCUGAGGGGGAAUCAACAUGUCACCCAAGCCUCAAUUUCUUUCAAUGGAAAUUCUAGUAUUGGACGCCCUUGUUUGUGGGACUUUUGUGGCACUACCAAGGACAUUUAAGGGGAGAGAGUGAACGCUUUUCUUGUGUGUGUGAUCGAUUUCCAAUGUAUUUACCUUGACCUGCAGUGAUUCUUGGUGCUUCACAAGUUCUAACAGAGUUGGAAUGGCUUGCUCCUCAGCUAUGACCCUCUGGCUGUUUGGGUUAUUGGUGUGUGCCCCUCCUAAAAUUAGAUGUACGAAACAUGCAUGCACUAGAAGUUAUGGUAUAUUAUUAGCUUGUAUACCAUGACUUGUUUCCAAGUCAAGUCUGAAAGCCAUGUUACUACUGUCGCACUGUUAAAACUUCAAUGGUCAAAAUCGUCAAGUAGUAUCAUGACAAAGGUUUACUCAAAAUCGCCCAUUGAUACCAAUGCUUGGUUAAUGCAAACCUUUGAUUACCUUAAUCUUAUCUUGAGAAACACAGUACAUGCAACAGUGAGAAUGUACAAACCAAUACACAGGAUGCCCAGGGAUCGUAUAACGCUGAGGAGGGUACUCUCUGUGGUCCGGGACCCCCGUAGUAGACGAACCAGCGGGGGCACCCCAUUUUCUUUACACAGCCCGUCCUGGUGGCUCCGACUGUCCCUGCUCAGUGCUAUAACUGCCUGGCAGCCUGAAAGACAAUACUAUUUGUUUACACUUUACCAAGCUGAAUUGUAUGUAAACCUCGACUUGAAUUCUUUCAUAAAAGGUCCCUCUCUGGCCUGACCAGAUCUGAAACCUCCACACCACAUUUGACAAUUGGUGGCAGUGCUGGGAUGUGAGUGAUGCCUUUAUGGAGUAUCGGCCAGCAGUGGUGUCCAUCAGUGUAAAGAUGACAGGACGAAGGCAUAAGUUAUGCAUAGUGUAAAGUUAGUCACUAGGCCUAUAAGCUGACAUUAGCGGUCAUGACUGUUAGUGCCAUUACUAUGAUGGCGUUAUGUAGACUUUGUGACAGACGGUUCAGGUAAUGUGUUACCUAGAAUUCAAUCUGUACAUUCACUUUUUAAACCAUUGGUCGGGGUGUUACUGUGGUCAGGCGCAGGCCUACCAUUUCCACAUCAUUAACCUCAGUUCGUCUCCCUUUUAAGAGAACGACAGGCAUUUUUUGGGUGAAAAAGAAGGCUGGAAUGAAAGAACCAUCUGUCGUCUUGUCUGGACAGAAACUAUUUCGGAAGCUGCUGUACAGAUGUUCUGUAGACAUGUUUGACAGACCGAGGACCUGAGGGAAGAGUAGAGGCUCUUAAAAACUACCCGGGAACACGUGUUCAAGGAAUGACAGAGGUGUUGGGAUUCCCAAUGGAGGGAUAGACAGACAGGCAUUCCUGACUGCAUGCCUUCCUGUGCUCUGGCUGCGGGUGAUGAGUCUAGCAGAGGAAAGCCGUCUGGGGGCAGGAGGCGGCUGGUCUUGCGGUGACAGAGGCAGCGUACCCACGAGGAUCUUCCAGACAGGCAGGUCCGGCAGGCCCAGCGAGAUGAGGUGCCUGAGGACUUUGGGGUGGAAGUAGAGGGCGGCCAGCUGCACGACGUCGUUGCCCUUGCUGUCCCUCCUCCUCCAGUUGGCUCCCGCGGACAGCAUGUAGUCCAGGGCCUCCACGGAGCCAGAUGUGGCCGUCAGGAGCAACGGGCAGCUGCGGUACCUGAGGAGACAAAAAAACAACACCGUCAACCUGUGUGCACGUAGAAGCAGAUGCAUCCGUAACGCCUCCAGUGCAUUUUGUGGCGUCUGUUACUUGUAUGUCAGUGGAGGCUGCCGAGGGGAGGACCGCUCAUAAUAAUGGCCGGAACGGAGUCAAUGGAAUGGUAUCGACGACA